GAUGAACGCUGGCGGCGUGCCUAAUACAUGCAAGUCGAGCGAACGGACGAGAAGCUUGCUUCUCUGAUGUUAGCGGCGGACGGGUGAGUAACACGUGGAUAACCUACCUAUAAGACUGGGAUAACUUCGGGAAACCGUAGCUAAUACCGGAUAAUAUUUUGAACCGCAUGGUUCAAAAGUGAAAGACGGUCUUGCUGGCACUUAUAGAUGGAGCCGCGCUGCAUUAGCUAGUUGGUAAGGUAACGGCUUACCAAGGCAACGAUGCAUAGCCGACCUGAGAGGGUGAUCGGCCACACUGGAACUGAGACACGGUCCAGACUCCUACGGGAGGCAGCAGUAGGGAAUCUUCCGCAAUGGGCGAAAGCCUGAUGGGCCAACGCCCCGUGAGUGAUGAAGGUCUUCGGAUCGUAAAACUCUGUUAUUAGGGAAGAACUUAUGUGUAAGUAACUGUGCACAUCUUGACGGUACCUAAUCAGAAAGCCACGGCUAACUACGUG
rnacentral:rRNA from 1 species